rnacentral:rRNA from 1 species
UACGUAGGGGGCUAGCGUUGUCCGGAUUUAUUGGGCGUAAAGAGCGUGUAGGCGGCCAGGUAGGUCCGGUGUGAAAUCCCCAGGCUCAACCUGGGAACUGCGUCUGAUACUGGAUGGCUUGAAUCCGGGAGAGGGAUGCAGAAUUCCAGGUGUAGCGGUGAAAUGCGUAGAUAUGUGGAGGAACACCGAUGGCGAAGGCAGCCCCCUGGGUCAAAACUGACGCUCAUGCACGAAAGCGUGGGAGCAAACAGG